UGCAUCUCCGAAGCCCCUGAACACC
rnacentral:piRNA from 1 species